rnacentral:lncRNA from 1 species
CAGGGUCUCGAAAAAGGGCCUGAUCUUGUCCUCUUUCUCGAAUCGGAACUUGGUGGCGUCGACGCAUGCGAAGGAGAGGGUGCCUUUGUUGCCGGCGUCGAAGUAGAAGUCCGAUGGGAAGAGGUGGGUGGCGUUAAGGUUGAGGUUGGUUCCGCAUUCCCUACAGCUGUAGACUGAAGCCAUCGUUAGAUGUUAAUCGCAGCGCAACGAAGGGGUCUGGUUAAUACAUCCAAACGGUGAGAAGUUUCAAAGGCGCGUUCUGGUGACCUGUACACCAAGAUAGCUGAAAAAAUGACACUAAAUAAUAAAUAAUAAAUAAUAAAUAAUAAAACAAAUUUAUAACCAAUAAAUUAUGUAAAAAUUAUUCCACAAAAAUAAGUUUCAAAUUGUAAAUUAUAGAAAGGACGAAAAUUUUCCAUUUAAAUUUUAUUCAUUUUAAUUUUUUGUCAAUUUAUUAUUAUUUUAUUUAUUUAAUUUCAAUUUAAAACAAAUUUACACUAUGGAUAAACUUAUUUUAUAUAUAUUUAUAUAUAUAUUACUUGUCACAAUCAUCUCAUCCGAUCACGAUAUUAUGAGAGUGCGAGGAUAAACAAAAACCUUUUAUCGGUUGGAUAGAUAAAAUCUUAUAUCAAGAUUGAUAAUUGGUUGUAAUCACCCUAAUCCCAAACUCGAAAAUCAAGAGUAUCAUAAUCAUUUUACAUAUCGAUCUCCAAAGUCUAACACGUGAAUGUCAUAAUUAACUAAAUCCAUAAUGUAAUUCAAAGAUAUUACACAUUCAUUUCUAACUAAUUGAAAAUUUUCAAUGAUAAAUUAAAUAAUUGUGUUUACCACUUAAAAUAAAAAUUCUAGAAGUCAUAACUAACUUGUUAUAGAUCAUCAAUUCCAAAUUAUGUCUUAACAAAAUCACCCUUUCUAUUUGAUCACUUAUUGUUAAUAUUGAUUGUAGCAUAAUAGAAAUGGAUGAGUUCAACAACUUAAUUAGCAAAAAUAAUGAAAUACAUUGAGUUUGAUAAUUCAACAAGCAAAACUAAUAAAAUAUGAAGGAUGAAGUAUUAUAACCUGUUUAGUAAUUGUUUUUAAAAAUAGUUUUUAAGAACAAUUUAUAAAAAAAUGUUCUCUAUUUUUUGUAGAACAAAAUUUGUUUGAAAAUCUAAAAUAUUUUUAACUUAUUUUUAAUAAUUUAAAAUAUGUUUUGAAAAUAUUUUUUAUAUUUAAUGUUUUAUUUUUAAUCAUUUUGUAUGUUUGCAUAAUUAUUUCUUAAAAUAGUCCUCAUAAAACAAUUAAAAUAUGUUUUUUGAAAGUACUCAAAAGGUAUUUUCUAAAAAUAUAUUUUUUUUAUUUUAAUAUCAUAAAACAGAAAACGGUUUUUGAUUGUCAAACUUCUUUUCUAUGUUUUUUGUUAUAGAGAGCAAAAAAAAUUAGUCUAAAACACAGUUUGAAACUAGCUCUAUAUUUUUAUAAAAAUCAAUAAACAAUUAACUCAUUUAGUUUAGUAGCAUAGUUCACUUUCUUAAAAAGAUGGGUACUGACAUUCAAUUCAAAAAUAAAAAUAGUAUAAUACAAUUUGCAUAAUGCAUAUUUAAAUAAAUAUAUUACUCUAAUUUAUUGAUAGUAAUUACUUUGUCUAAAUAGUCGGACUUGCACUGGGUAGCUAACUUCGAUUGUUCCUCUUACUAAUGGAUGAUUUUCAAUUAAUGGUAUAACACCUUUAUCCACCAAGGAUUAUAAAAGCUAACAAUUUAUGCUGUUAAUAGUCACUAAUAUACAAAGGAAUUCUACCAAUUUAAAAGGAAUAAUUUUUUUUUACUAUAUUAUUAACCCUUGGGUCAAGAAAAUACUCAAAAUUUCAAAGAACUUAAUUCACACAUAGACAUAACAAUUAAACAUAAUUAUUACUAUAUACUAUUUAUCUAGAAUUAUAAUUUAACAUUUCAAUAAUAUUAAAUAUUAUUAUUAUUAUUUUUAAUAUUCUUUCCCAUAAAUAUCUUUUUGAUUAAUCAAUUCCCAUUUUUAUAAAACUCUUGUUCUUAUUAUUUAGAUCCCCGAUUUUUACAAAACUCUACCAAAAUUUUUAUUUUUUAUUUAUUUUUAUUAUUAUUAUAACUCAUAGAUUCAAAUAUGCAUCACAUACAAACAAAUAUAAGUAAUCAAUUAAAUUUAUCCUAGAAAAUUUCUAAUAAUUUCUUACCAACCCUACCUAAUUUCCAAUUUCCUCGCUAAUCACACAAUUCAUCCUUAAGUCACUAACUAUUCAGGCCUAUUAAUCAUAUGCUUGGUGGCCUACAAAGUUUUUUUUUUUUCCAUUUUGGUCACUUAUCUUUGAUAUUAAUUACAUUUUUCUAUCAAUUUUUUCCAAUUUUGAUUGCAUUUAAUGUAACAAAUAAAAUUAGAGGCAGAUAAUUGAAACGGAUUGGAAAAUUUUCAUUUAUAAAAUUUGCAUAGGGAUGGGGCAUGUACGUGGAAUGGGCUUGCGUCAACGCGCACUACGCACCAGGCGCAUGGAAGUUUCUGCUACUAUGACGGCCUCUGUAUCUAUAAAUACGGCUGGAGAAUAAUUUUUCUUCAGGUGUUUCAGACAGAAGUGGCUGUGGAGAAAGAGAGAAGCGACGGUUUCACUCUAAUAUCCGACAAAAUCCAAACAUGAACGAAGAAAAGAAAAGAAAAGAAAAGAAAGGAAAGGAAAAGAAAAACACUAACAAACAAGAUAAACAAUGCUGUAAGCUACUACAGGUUUCAAGCUCUGAUUUCGCUGAAACCGUAGGCUUUUCUAAGAUCAAUCGCCAUGGAUAUGCGCUUUCCCUACUCGCCCGCGGAGUUCGCCAAAGUCCGUGCGGUUCAGUUCGGCGUUUUUAGUCCCGACGAGAUCGUAAUUUUUCUCCAUCCAAACUGUUCGCUGCAAGAUUCCCAUUUUCUUUUUUCUUCUUCUUUUUUUUUUUCCUCUUUAUCUCCAGGGUUUCUUGAUUUUGUGUAUGUGCGCGAGAUUGAUCAGAGUGAGACAAUGAAGAGAGGGAAGCCGAAGAGGGGUGGCCUUGCAGAUCCUCGGCUGGGUACCAUGGAUAAAACGCAGAAGUGUGACACAUGUAUGGGGAGUAUGGCAGCGUGCCCGGGGCACUUCGGCCACCUGGAGCUCGCCAAGCCCAUGUUCCAUACCGGGUUCAUGAGGACUGUGCUCACUGUGUUGCGCUGUGUUUGCUUCAGUUGCUCUAGAAUUCUAUCAGACGAGGUAUUGCCCACUUUGAAUUUCUUUCAAGGCUUCAACUAUGAUGUCUGGAACGUGGGAGUAAGGGUCUGUUUGGAUCUUGAAAUUUGAUGAAAGUAAGAAAAAGAAGGAACGAGGAGAAUUAGAGAAAGAACAAAAAUAUUUGUUCACUUUUUAAAAUAAAGGAGGUCGAUUUUGAUAAGGUAUAGUUUUUAUCAUGAUUUUUUUUUUUUAGUCGCGAUCAUGACACGAGAAAAAUGGCAUCAUUUUUAAGAAAAAACUUUGUUUAAAAUGUUUUUAAUUUAUUUAAAUAUUUUCUAAAAACAAUUUUUUUAAUAUUUUCCUAAAAUAUUCCCCAAAAAAUCCUAUUUUUAAAACAAGUUGCUAAAAUAUAAUUUUUAUAAAAAAAAAAACCAAAAACAUCAAAUUUUUCUAGUUUGAAAAACAAUUUUAUAUUUUCAAGAAUAAAAUUUUGGUUUUAAAGACAAGUUGUAACUAUUUUUUAAAAUAGUUUUAAAAAUAAUUUUUAUAAAUAAUUUUUUAAUAUUUUUAAAAAUAUAUUUGAAAACUUAAAAUGUUUUUAACACGUUUUUAAUAUUUUAAAUAUGUUUUAAAAAUAAUUUUUAUAUUUAGUGUUUUAUUUUUAAUUAUUAUAAAUGUUUAUAUGAUUAUUUUUUUAAAUAAUCAUUGAAAAAAAAGUGAAAACAUCGUCAAACAAUUAAAAUAUGUUUUUAUGAAAAAACUUAUUUUCUAAAAACGUAAAAUAGUUUUUGAUUGUUAAACUGUUUUUCUUUAUUAUUAUUUUUUAUGGGAAAAUAGUUGUGAAACUGAGCUUAAUUUUUUUAUUGUCUAUUUGGUACCUAAGCAUGAUGAAGAUGAUAAUGGGGCAUGAAGAUAAUCAACGCUUUCUUUGCUAUUUAGAGGAACUAGGAUUCAAAAUGGUGCUGGAAAAUUGGAGUAGUGAUGAUCAGUUCACAGCACCAGAGCAUCGAAGAUGGACUUCAUCUCCCAUGUUUUUAGUUUUUAGAGUUUCAACACAUGCUUUGUUUGUACGAUGGGAGUUUGGAAUAAAAAAUUCUGCAGUUUGUUAGUUGUUGCAGUUUAUAUUUGACUGUUGUUCCAUCAGGAGGAUCCUAAGUUCAAGCAAGCGCUUCUAAUCAGAAACCCCAAAAAUAGGCUUCCAAAGAUUUGGGAUGCCUGCAAGAAUAAAACCAAAUGUGAAGGUGGUGAGGAGUUCGAGGUCCGAGCUCAAAAUCCUGAAGAAUCAUCAGGCAGAAGAAGUGGUGGUGGGUGUGGUGCUCAGCAGCCAAAGCUCUCCGUUGAUGGUAUGAAAAUCAUCGCAGAAUUCAAGGCUCAAAAGAAGAGAGAUGACCCGGAGCAGCUUCCUGAACCUGUAACCUAAUUUCGAUCUGAUCAGCAUGCAUGAGAACUAAAUAAUUAUACAUGGCCUCCAUAAUAAUGCCAUGAGUGAUGAAGCUGACGUUUUGUUGGAUGCACUUCAGGUUCUUGGUGUCCUGAAGAGCAUCAGUGAUGAAGACUGUCUACUGCUAGGCUUGAACCCUAAAUAUGCCCGCCCAGAUUAGAUGAUUCUUCAAGUCCUUCCCAUUCCUCCGCCUGCCGUGAGACCCUCUGUGAUGAUGACGGGUGGCUCUGACAGGAGCGAGGCAAGCGGCAUUUCUGUUUUUCCUUUUUCAAUACGUCCUUAGUUUCUUUUUAAUGCAUAUGCGAGAUUUUGCUGCAUGGUCUGUGAUAGUUUCAAAUUCUGAUUUUCUUUUUCUUUUCUGACGUACGUCCCAGGAUGAAUGAUGGAGACUAUGUUCUCUUUAAUAGACAGCCUAGUCUCCACAAAAUGUCUUUUAUGGGGCACAGGAUCAACAUUAUGCCAUAUUCAACUUUCCGUUUGAAUCUUUCUGUUGCUUCACCAUACAACGCUGAUUUUGAUGGAGAUGAAAUGAAUAUGCAUGUUCCUCAGUCGUUUGAGACCAGAGCUGAAGUACUGGAGCUAAUGAUGGUGCCUAAAUGCAUCGUCUCCCCUCAAUCAAACAGGCCUGUAAUGGGAAUUGUCCAGGAUACACUUCUAGGAUGCCGGAAAAUCACCAGAAGGGAUACGUUUAUAGAGAAGGUGAUUGCCAUAAAUAGCCAUCCCACUUACUAAAACCUGCUUUCAUAUUUGUGAUUUUCUCAUUUGAAAUUAUUGUUAUAACCUAUGAUGAAUUUUUGCAGGAUGUCUUUAUGAACAUCCUGAUGUGGUGGGAGGACUUUGAUGGGAAAAUUCCAGCUCCUGCAAUUUUGAAGCCAAGGCCUCUAUGGAUUAGGAAACAAGUUUUUAACCUUAUCAUACCAAAACAGAUUAAUCUCUUGAGAUAUUCUGCCUGGCAUUCGGAAUGCGAAACAGGAUUCCUUACACCAGGAGAUACCCAAGUUCGAAUAGAAAGAGAAGAGCUACUUUCCGGCAACCGGAAGUCUUAUACAUGUCAUUUGGUAAACAUUAAUUCUGUAGACAGCAUGAUUUCAGAGAAUUUUAGGCCCAACACUGUUGGCUGAUCUAUAUUACUGAACUGCACCCAGAACUUGGUCGGCUAAAAUUUUGAAAUGCCUGAAUUGUUUGAUCCAGAUGCUUUCUAAUUCCGCUUUAUUGAUUAAAAAUGGCCAAUUUUAAAAACUAGAAAACCAAGUUCAAAGGCUCUCCAUUUGUUUAAAAGCCAAAUUUAUGUUAAAAAUGGUUGAAAUUUCCUGUCCAAAUUAAGAAGUCAACUGCACAAUCUAAAUUUAGUUGAGUUGAUGCUCUGAAGGAAGCUCCUGUAUCAGUCCUUAAGGCUUGGACUCGAGUUCGAAUCCUGGGAAGGCCACUCUGGGCGCCGCGCAGGCUCAAGCCUAGGCACCAGGGCCAAAUAAACAAAUGACGUCCCAACAACCCUCCUCUUCAAUAUCUUGCUCCGUAGCACUUUUGCCAGUAAAAGGGUGUUGCAUGAAUACAGGCUCAGUCGUGAAGCAUUUGACUGGGUCAUCGGAGAGAUAGAGUCUCGAUUCCUGCAGUCACUGGUAUCACCGGGGGAAAUGAUUGGUUGUAUUGCCGCACAGUCCAUUGGGGAGCCUGCCACUCAGAUGACUCUGAAUACCUUUCACUACGCCGGCGUCAGUGCCAAGAAUGUGACUCUUGGUGUCCCUAGGUUGAGGGAGAUCAUCAAUGUGGCUAAGAUAAUUAAAACACCUUCUCUCUCUGUCUGCCUCAAGCCUGAAGUCAAUAAAACAAAGGAGAACGCCAAGAAUGUCCAAUGUGCUUUGGAAAACACUACUCUCCGGAGUGUGACUCAAGCUAUAGAGGCAUGGUAUGAUCCGGACCCAACCAGCACGAUGAUUGAGGAGGAUUUUGAGUUUGUGAAGGCCUAUUAUGAAAUGCCGGAUGAGGAGAUCGACCCUGAAAAAAUCUCUCCCUGGUUGCUUCGCAUAGAGUUGAAUCGGGAAAUGAUGGUGGAUAAGAAGAUAAGCAUGGCAACCAACCGCAUAGUUGACUCCCGGAAUUUAGACAAGUAUUGUGAAUUCUGUUCUGUUUAAGCUGUUGAGGAGACACCUUAUUUCAUACCGGCUUCAUCUCCCUUCUAACCGGUUGCUUGUUUCUGAUUCUGUAUCAUGUAUUCAUUAAUUUCAGUUCUUGACAUAGAAUCUUACAUUCGACAGUCACUUCUACUCUUCUGAUCUUCGAUUAUAAUAUUUCAAAGCUCACAUUAUAUAUAUAGGAAAGCCGCCCAAGACGAAAAUUGAGCAGGUGUUGUGGAGCUGUGAGCCUGGCUUGUGGAGAGGUGUGGUGAUUCUGCUGUCGUAGCCCUCCAAGAUGAUGCAGGCUUGGGAUGACCAAGUAUUAAAAUCCUGGCCGGCCUGCAAGUGUUUGUUAAAGGCAUUAUUCUGAUAAACAAAUGCCUUCAUCGUCAUUCCAGUUCUACUCUCAUCCUGUACACAUUCUAUGACAAGGUCAACUGACUCAUUCCUCAUAUACUUUCCAGGACCAUCACAACCUCCAAGUUCUCUUCCCUCUGCUCUCUCUUUAUAUAUAUCAUUGACCAGGAUAACCAAAGAGCAACAAUCUGAUCUAAUGGAGAAACGUUCCACCAGAAUGAAGAGGACGUUCCUGAAGCUUCUACCAAAGGCUGCCUCUCCUGUCAUCUUCCUAAGCCCACCUCUCAGUCCUGUUGGUGACAGAAGAAUUGAGAAUACAACUAAGCUCAAGGCCAUCACCAAAGGAUACUCUGGUCCAAAUGUUUCAAUGGUUCCACCGGAAGCUAGAAGAAAGUCGAAGAACGGGAGCUUUGACACUCGAGAACCAACCUCACCCAAGGUUUCAUGCAUGGGACAAAUCAACAUCAAGAAGAAGAAGAACAAAAGUAAGACGGUUCUGCCUCCAACUGAAAAACCUAAGCCUGUCUCAUCUCCUGGAAAAUCUAAGAAGAAUCCAUUUGAGAUUCAUAGGAUCUUUCAGGGCUCAAAUCAUUGUAGAAAAUCGGGCCAUAUUGAUGUUAAGCAACCAGCUCCAGAUAGAACUCCUUCUCUGAGUCAGAUGAAGGGGUUUGCGAGCGGGCGUGAUGCGUUUAUGAAUUUUGAUUGGAGGGUUCACGGUGCUGCUGUUGCCCCUGACAACCAAAACCAUUGUGCUGAUGGCAAGGAAGAAGGAGAAGAGAAGGCGAUCAUUUCAUUUUCUGCACCCAUAGCGGUGGGUGGAGCAGUGGCUGUAGGGCCGAAGAAAGCAAUCGAUUUGUGGAAGAGAAGAACCGUGCCUCCUCCUCCCGCUCUUCAGCUGUAAAAAGGAGUGAGCCAACUAUGUAAGCAUCACUUCCAACUAUUUCAUCAAACUGAUUCCAAAUGAGGAAAAUAUUUCAUUUUCUUGAGCCAGUUCCUCAAAAAGUCCUUCAGGACCUGUAAUAAUUUUAUUCACUGUGAGAUCUGAUAUGGUUAUGCCAUGCAUGUAUUGGAGUGAUCUGUCCAUUGAAGUUGUCUGCCACAUCCAUCACCAUUUAACCAACUCUGAGAAUGUCUGUAAAUCUUUUGGGAGUGGAUAAAAGAUGAGAGGAAGGAGACCAUAGAAAAUAUCAGCAAGUUAAUCUGUCAUACACUUUGGCUUGGUCAAUUGCACCUAUUUUAUUAUAUAGCUUUAAAAUAUAUUUUCUAGACACAUUGGCUGAGCCUGAUGCUUAUUUUCUUUCCAAAGCCGGCACUGUAGUCUGAAAUUGCUAUAGCUGGCCUCAGGCUUCGAAAUAAGUCUUCUACCAAAUUCUUAUGUCGUGUGUCAUGUUGGGUGGUUUUUUUUUUCUUUCUUUUGAAUGUCAUUUUGUGUAAGUCAUCUCUGUACUAUCAUUAAUAGGAAGAAGAAAUUGCAACUUUUAAAUUUGCAUUGAGAAAUUAUGACUUCAGUUUGAAUUAAUUUUUAUUGACAAUGACAAUUGAAAAGAGAAAGUGAGGAAAUGGGUUGAGAAGAUAAGCUUCUCUAAUGUGGGGCCUUGUCACCAACCACAACCAGUCGCCCAAAAAAUCAAACUCCAUUGACCGCAGGCACUGCGGAAGCUCAGUAAAAAUAUCAACGUCAGUCCUCUCAAGCACUAACCAAACGUGGCCUCUAUUCAUUUCCCAUUACUCAUCAUGCUUUCGCUGUCGCCUUAUGUUUUUAGUCCUUCCUCUCUGAGGGUCUCUGCGCUUCAGCAUUUCUAUAAAUUAUGGUGUCUGUAGUGAAAACCUGGUACCUCGGCUUCCAUGGCGGAUACUCCUGAUUCUGAGCAAAUGGUCUACCUUAACGGUGACCUAGACCUGAAGAUUCUCGAGGCUCGCCAUCUACCCAACAUGGAUUUGCUCGCCUUGAAUCUCAGCCGUUGCUUCGCUUCUUGUGAAGCUCGUAAACGUCCAUCGUCCCCCGACAGACAAAGGCCCGGCGACCGGAAGGACCGUCACACCAACAUCAUCACCAGUGACCCCUACGUCAAAGUAUGCGUCCCCCAGGCCACUCUCGCUCGAACACGCGUCAUCUCCAACACCCAAAACCCCUACUGGAACGAACGCUUCAGCAUCCCACUCGCCCACCCACUCGCCAAUUUGAAGUUUGAGGUGAAGGAAAACGACCUCCUGGGCGCCGAGCUCAUGGGAACUGUUCUCAUUCCGGCAGAGAAGCUCGCAUCCGGCGACCCCAUCUCCGGAUGGUUCCCAGUGAUUGGCCCAUUAGGAAAGCCACCAAAGCCCAACACAGCACUUCGGAUCGAGAUGCAAUUCACACCUUGCGAAAAAAACCCUCAUUAUCAACGCGGCAUUGCCGGCCAUCCGGAGCACAUGGGUGUCCACCAAACUUACUUUCCAUUGAGGAGAGGUGGGUCAGUGGCUCUGUACCAAGACGCUCAUUCUCCUGGAGAAGCACUGUCACCGGAGAUUGAACUGGAUGGAGGUAUAGUGUACAAACGCGGGCAGUGUUGGGAAGAUAUAUGCCACGCCAUAGUAGAGGCCCAUCAUAUGAUAUAUCUAGUUGGUUGGUCGAUUUUUCACAAAGUGAAGCUGAUCAGAGAGCACACACGGCCGUUGCCCAGAGGCGGUGAACUGAGUCUGGGUGAAUUGCUCAAGUAUAAGUCAGAAGAAGGGGUUCGAGUUCUGAUGUUGGUUUGGGAUGACAGGUUCUCUGAUAAGCUCCAUAUCUUUAAGGUAAGACUUGUUAAGAUUUAAGCACCAAGUAAUUUGAAAGUUGGAUUAUAUGAAGCAGAACUUAGAUAUCAUGAUACGGAUUCUUGUUGCUGGAAAAAAUUAAAUAAAAUAAUCUCCAACUUUAAUUUAAUGUCUUUAAAAAUAAAAAUUCCAAAAACAAGACCCGAGUCGUAAUAAUUUUCAAACUAAUGCAUGUCGGUUACUUAGACAUUCAUGUGAGUUGAGAAUUAUUUAUUUAUUUGUUUUUAUCAUAAAGCUAUAAUUAAUAACUACGAUUUUAAAAUAUUUUUAAACAUAAAAUCGUAGUUAUUUAUUGAUUAUGAUUUUAACCUUAAAUUUAAACUUGUGGUUAAGUUUGAUCAUUUUAAAAUAAAUUUAAAAUUAUUUUAAUAAUGUAAAUAUUUAUGUGGAUAAGACAGACUAAUUUAAAAAUUAUUUUGAAAACAAAAUGAUCUUACAAAACACCAACACGUGUUAUUGUCUUAUAUUUCUUGCCAAAGAAGUCAAAGUGACACAUACCUGAAGAUAUUCUUCUUUUGUCUAUGCCAAAUUCCAUCCAAAAUAUCUUGUAUAAAUGAAGUCCUUAAGAUUCAUGCUUGUUUGGAAGAUAUUUAUUUGGAAAAUGUUUAUUUAUUUAAGAAUGAAAUCUUGAGUUGCUUGUGAUUCGAAAAAACAUUUUUUAUUUUUUAUUUUUUAGUUUCACUUUUUAAAAAUAAUUUAUAUAUAUUGAAUGAUAGAUAUUGGUUCAAAGUACCCUUAUAAUUUUAAAAUGUAUUUACAAGAUUAAGAGAAAUUGAUAUUUAUAAAGUGUAAUAAAUUUUCUUUUAUAUCUAAUAUAAGAUAUUAAAUAUAGAUUAAAUAAAUAAACAUUUUUUACAAGUCAAACAAACCCUUACAUUAAAGAGUUGUGAUUGAUUUUAAUACCGAGCUCUAAAACCACUCUAAGAUCAUGAUGAUUAUUUCACAUGUUAAGCUUAAAAGCUUAAAAUAUAAAUUGAUACAAACGCUUAAUUAUAUAUAAAAGCUUAAAAUAUAAAUUGAUACAAACACUUAAUUAUAUAUAUCAUUAAGUGUUUAUAUCAAUUUACAUUUUAAGCUUUUAAUAAAUUCGUGAUAUUAUUAUGUUGCAUAUGUUAAUUAUUAUUUGUAUUUUAAUUUAUAAUAUAAAAUAUAUCUAAGUUUAAUAAUAAAUAAAAUAAUUAUAAGAUAAUAAUUGACUUUAAAUAUAUAUAUUAUCAUAUUUCUUUUAUAUUUCCAACUUUGUAUUCUUUUUAUAUCAUAGGACAUAUGAAGAUUUUUAUGCGAUUUAAUUCUUUUUUAUUUUAUUUUUUAAAAUAUCAAUUGGCAUUUUUAUUUUUCAAUUUUCAAUCUCAAUUUUCUAAAAACUAAAAAUGGUAUCAUACUCUAAAAAAAUGUUUAAACAAAUACGAGCUUAAUUUCUUUUUCUUUUUUUAAUAAUAAUAAAAAUUUUAAUUUUUUUUUUUUAUAAAAAAAAAACACCUCUCAGCUUGUCAUUUGUUUCUUCCUCACAAAUCAUAAACAAUCCUUGAAUCUCUCUGUACAAUGUUCAAGCUGAGUCUGAAGCCCAAAUCAAUUAGAGGUUCAAUCUCAAAAGAGGGAGGAAAGUAAAAGAAAGCCAAGAAGGAAAGGAAGAAGCCGAAAGGGAAAGGUUACCAGCAAUGAAACUUGCUGUUGCAAGAGAGGGAUCCUUAAAAAGAUGAGGAGAGAAGAACAUUGCUGUUGCAAGAAAGGGAUCCUUAAAAAGAUGAGGAGAGAAGAACGUGAGGUGGAGAUCACUCCCCAGUCUUAACUUUAAUUUGGCAGGUGGGGAGAUGUCCAUGCCCAAACUUGGAAGCAAAUCUUGGCCCACGCUUUUUUCUCAGAAACUUGUGAUAUUCCAUGGAUGAGUUAAAAGCUUAAGUAUCAUAUUUGAAUUUUGAAAUUCCUUGGAUGCAACAAGUCUGACAGUGAACAAGGUGUGAGCAGUACUUGACCCUUCUUUUUAAGCUGUGACGGUCGAAAAAGGGCGAGGGAUGAAAGCAGGGUGAAUGCCGGUCAGGAGAUGCUCUCUCACCCAUUUCAAUCAUGAACGUGGCCUGUUGUCUAUUCCCAACUACUUCUUGCCCCCCUUUCCCCAUCUCAUUAUAGGUGUCACUUGUCGUUCUCUUUCCUCUAAUUGUCAAAUAAUUUCCUAUUUUAUUUCAAAUCAUUUAUUUCGAGUUUAUUAAAAUAUUCACAAAAGUAUUCUAAGCAAUCUCUUUCUUGGAUUAUCCGACCGGCGUAUCCUUUCCGGCUUCCUCUCAUUCUACUCUCUGCGAUUUUCUUUCUCAGUUCUGCUGUGUAAAACGCACGCAGGUGUUUGGGCAAGUUUAGAGCUUUGAUUCUAUGGCCGACACUGCUUCCCAGCGUGUGAUUUACCUUCAUGGUGACCUAGACCUGAAGAUUCUCAAGGCCCGGGACCUUCCCAACAUGGAUUUAGUCACCGAGCAUGUCCGCCGUUGCUUUACUCUCUGUGACGCUUGCAAAACCCCCUCUGCCGGGAAGGAUGUCUCUACCCCCGACACUGAUGACCGCCCCGCCAGGCAUAAGCCCGGCGACAAGCGACUUGACCACCACCGCAAAAUCAUCACCAGUGACCCUUACGUUACCGUCUGCGUCCCCCAAGCCACCGUCGCACGGACACGUGUCAUCUCCAACACCCAAAACCCUUACUGGAAUGAAAACUUCUACAUCUCAUUGGCACACCCAGUCGCCAAUUUGGAGUUUCAGGUGAAGGAUAAUGACUUAUUUGGCGCCGAGGUUAUCGGAGUUGCUCGGAUUCCGGCGGAGAGGAUCGCCACCGGGGAGCACAUCAGCGGAUGGUUUCCAGUGAUUGGCGCAAAUGGGAAGCAGCCGAAGCCCACCACAGCUCUUCAGAUUGAAAUAAAGUUCACACCCUUCGAGCAGAACCCAUUCUACCGCACCGGCAUUGCCGGCGAUCCGGAGCACUUGGGUGUUCGGCACACUUAUUUUCCACUUAGGAAAGGUGGGUUGGCGACACUGUAUCAAGAUGCCCAUGUUCCUGAAGGAUUGUUACCUGACAUUGAAGUGGAUGGAGGACAGGUUUAUAGACAUGAAACGUGCUGGGAGGAUAUAUGUCAUGCCAUAGUAGAGGCUCAUCAUAUGGUAUAUAUUGUUGGUUGGUCGAUUUACCAUAAGGUGAAGCUCAUUAGAGAGCCAACUCGGCCGUUGCCCAGGGGUGGUGAUCUCACUCUUGGUGACUUGCUUAAGUAUAAGUCAGAAGAAGGGGUUCGAGUUUUGAUGUUGGUUUGGGAUGAUAGGACUUCCCAUGAUAAGUUCUUCAUCAACACGGUGAGAAAUCCAACUGCCAAUGUGGUUUAAAUUUGUGAUAAUAAUAGAAUGUUACAUGUGUGCUUUAGUCCAGUUAUUGGCUUGAUGAAAUAUGGGAAGUCAGGGACAUUUGAUGGAGUCUGUUAUUUCCUAACUUUGAUGUUUCUGAUUGAAAUUCUAUAGAUAAACCGAAAAAAUAUAUUCAAUUUUCAUUUUAUGACACUUCUAUUAGGGUCCAUGAAUGUUUCCUUUAUAUGCUGUUUCUGCUAGUUUCUGAUUGAUAUGUAAUUUAACUCACAUUGUAUCAUGUUUUUUAAUGCAGAAAGGAGUCAUGGAAACACAUGAUGAAGAAACCCGGAAGUUUUUCAAGCAUUCAUCUGUCAUCUGUGUCCUCUCUCCUCGCUAUGCUAGCAGCAAGCUUAGCUUUAUCAAACAACAGGUAAGGCUUUACGAUAUUGAGAUAAUUUAUCUACCAUUUCUGUGAAGGUAUUUUACAUAUUAAAUUUGGUUCAUUCUUCUGGUUAAGAUGUGCUUCAUUGACUAUACUAGUUCUAAAGAGAAAAGCAUAUGGCAAUUGUUGUCCAAAUUUCAUCUAAUUAUGCUGGUCACACUACAUUAUUUGGCCUUGUCCUGUGUAUAAUGCUGCUUCACAUUGUGUAAUCCUUGUCCAUGUAUCUGUGCAGACAUAUGUUCCAAUCUAUUACACAGCCAAACCAUUUGAACUCUUCCUCCCUUUAGACCCUAUUUUAGCUAUGUUAAUAUUCUUGAAAACACUGUAAUCUUUCUUUCUUUCUUUCUUUCUUUCAUGCUCACUUUUUGACAAGCAUGAACAAGAUAUAGACAGGAAACUCAUGUUUAUGCACAUUAUCUCCCAUCAUAUAUUUAAGCAUUAACCAAGAGUUCAUAUGAAAUAGGCUAUAGGGUCCGUGUUGGUUUAAAAUUACUUUUCUACUUCCAUAAUGAUCUUUAUAUGCAAUCUUUUUUCAUGCAGUUAUUUUAUUUUUUAUUUUUUUGAUGAAUAAACAACAGUAUAUUAAAUAUAAAAGGCACAUCAAGGAAGCGCCCCAAAGUAUACAGGAUGUAUACAAAAAGGCUAAAGAACGCCUCAAAGAGAAACAGGGGAUCAACACAAAAUAACACCCCCUUGAACAGAGCCUAACCAAUCUAUAAAAUCCACAAUGAAAGGGGGGUCGAAGUUUACAAACCCCUUGGCCCAUGCCCAUAGGUUACAAAGGAAAAAAGAUUUACACCCUUGAAUCGAAUGUCCCUCAUUUUCAAAAGCCCUACUGUUUCUUUCCUUCCAAACUAUCCAAAAAAGACACAAGGGAGCUAAAAGCCACACUUUCUUCCUCUUCUUUCCCACACAAGACCCAAGUCACCCCAAUAACACCUCUCUAACUGAAUAUGGGAGCACUUACGACACCCCAAAAAGGGAAAAUAGUAAGUUCCAUAAACUUCUUGCCAGCUAACAAUGCAAGAGGAUGUGAUCAAUAGACUCUUCCUCUGAAAAACACAAGUAAUAUUUGUUAGCCAAAGGACACCCUCAACUUUAAAUUUGAUUGAAGGUUAAGACCUUUUUCCAUGUAGCCUCUCAAGCAAAAAAAACUCACUCUCGAAGGCACCAAAGAGUUCCAAAUUACUCUUGCAGGAAAAUCCCCUUGUCUUUCUGGUUCCAAAGCCUUAUAGAGAGACUUGACAGAAAAUCUACCGUCUUUUGACUUUGUCCAAACUACUCGAUCUUCCACAUCACUAUAAACCCUCCAACCCUGCAGUCUCAAGAGAAAACGCUCCACAUUGUACACCUCCUAAUUGUUAAGCCGCUUAGAGAAUCAAGGAACCCACACUCCCCCUCUAGAGUGGCUCCACACAUCCUUCACCCAAGCCUCCUUAGCCAAGGAAAUAACAAUAAAGGAGGGAAAAUAAAUACACAAAGGAUCGUCUCCACACCACCCGUCCUUCCAAAAUCUAACCCUCCUUCCAUUCCCCAUAGAAUAAACCAUAUUGUUGCCUAUCACAUCCCAAUCUCUCCUAGUGGCUUUCCACAAACCAAUCCCAAAACUUCCUCUCACUUCACAAGACUGCCAACUGCUCGCUUCUUCCCCAUACUUCCCACAAAUAACCUAUCUCCACAAAGCCUCCCUCUCCACUGUAAAAUGCCAAUUCCAUUUGCAUAAAAGAGCCUUAUUCAACAACGCCGAAUUCCUCACACCCAAACCAUCCUUUCGUUUAUCUGAGCAAACAAUAAAUCGAUCUACUAAAUGGGGCUUCCUUUCCAGGGCGCCACCACCCCAAAGAAAAUUCCUUUGGAUCCGCUCCAACCUCAGUCUCACACUCCUUGGCAUGUAAAACAGGGACAUACAAUGGAUAGGCAUACUGGAUAGAGUGCUCCGAAUCAAGGUCAGCCUGCCCCCUUUGGAAAUAUAUUGCCUUUUCCAAAUCGAAAGCCUUUUCCUCAGCCUCUCCUCUGCCCCAUCCCAAACUGCCAUAUCCUUGAAACGAGCACCCAAAGGAAGACCCAAGUAAGAAUACGGGAGUGUGCUAAACUUGCAACCAAACUCAAUAGUCAACUCCUCUACAUUCUCCACUUUCCCCAUCGGAAUGAGCUCACUUUUGUCCAAAUUCACCUUUAACCUUGACAUGGCUUUAAACCACAUAAGGAGCCAACUCAAGUAGGACAUCUGAUCUAGAGAAGGCUCAUAGAAGACUAAAGUGUCAUUUGCGAACAACAAAUGAGAGAUCUCCAUUCCCGCACCUCCUCUACCAUUGAACCUCCACCUCGGCAAAAACCCUCCCUCCAUAGCUCUCUUCAACAAGCAAUUGAGAGCCUACAUGACAAUCACAAAAAGGUAAGGGGAUAAGGGAUCCCCCUGUCUCAAGCCUCAAGAACUUUGGAAGAAACCGAAGGGGGUUCUGUUAAUAAGGAUAGAGAAGUUGAUUGUGCCAAUAUACCACUAGAUCCAGUUGAUCCACUUAGCUCCAAAACCCAUCCUUUCCAACAACCAAAGAAGAAAACUCUAGUUUACAUGGCCGUAUGCCUUCUCAAUAUCUAGCUUACAAAGGAUGCCACCAUCCCCACCUUUCUGCAUCGAAUCAAUAGCCUCAUUAGAAAUCAGCGAAGCAUCCAGAAUUUGCCUCCUCUCCACAAAAGCAUUUUGGGACUUGGAAACUAUCUUUCCCGCCACCUUUUUAAGCCUAUUAGCUAGCAGCUUUGCUAAUAACUUGUAAAGGUUGCCCACCACGGUUAUAGACCUAAAGUCCUUCAGAUCUUCAGCUCUCCCUUUCUUAGGANNNNNNNNNNNNNNNNNNNNNNNNNNNNNNNNNNNNNNNNNNNNNNNNNNNNNNNNNNNNNNNNNNNNNNNNNNNNNNNNNNNNNNNNNNNNNNNNNNNNGCGCCCCAAAGUAUACAGGAUGUAUACAAAAAGGCUAAAGAACGCCUCAAAGAGAAACAGGGGAUCAACACAAAAUAACACCCCCUUGAACAGAGCCUAACCAAUCUAUAAAAUCCACAAUGAAAGGGGGGUCGAAGUUUACAAACCCCUUGGCCCAUGCCCAUAGGUUACAAAGGAAAAAAGAUUUACACCCUUGAAUCGAAUGUCCCUCAUUUUCAAAAGCCCUACUGUUUCUUUCCUUCCAAACUAUCCAAAAAAGACACAAGGGAGCUAAAAGCCACACUUUCUUCCUCUUCUUUCCCACACAAGACCCAAGUCACCCCAAUAACACCUCUCUAACUGAAUAUGGGAGCACUUACGACACCCCAAAAAGGGAAAAUAGUAAGUUCCAUAAACUUCUUGCCAGCUAACAAUGCAAGAGGAUGUGAUCAAUAGACUCUUCCUCUGAAAAACACAAGUAAUAUCUGUUAGCCAAAGGACACCCUCAACUUUAAAUUUGAUCGAAGGUUAAGACCUUUUUCCAUGUAGCCUCUCAAGCAAAAAAAACUCACUCUCGAAGGCACCAAAGAGUUCCAAAUUACUCUUGCAGGAAAAUCCCCUUGUCUUUCUGGUUCCAAAGCCUUAUAGAGAGACUUGACAGAAAAUCUACCGUCUUUUGACUUUGUCCAAACUACUCGAUCUUCCACAUCACUAUAAACCCUCCAACCCUGCAGUCUCAAGAGAAAACGCUCCACAUUGAACACCUCCUAAUUGUUAAGCCGCUUAGAGAAUCAAGGAACCCACACUCCCCCUCUAGAGUGGCUCCACACAUCCUUCACCCAAGCCUCCUUAGCCAAGGAAAUAACAAUAAAGGAGGGAAAAUAAAUACACAAAGGAUCGUCUCCACACCACCCGUCCUUCCAAAAUCUAACCCUCCUUCCAUUCCCCAUAGAAUAAACCAUAUUGUUGCCUAUCACAUCCCAAUCUCUCCUAGUGGCUUUCCACAAACCAAUCCCAAAACUUCCUCUCACUUCACAAGACUGCCAACUGCUCGCUUCUUCCCCAUACUUCCCACAAAUAACCUAUCUCCACAAAGCCUCUCUCUCCACUGUAAAAUGCCAAUUCCAUUUGCAUAAAAGAGCCUUAUUCAACAACGCCGAAUUCCUCACACCCAAACCAUCCUUUCGUUUAUCUGAGCAAACAAUAAAUCGAUCUACUAAAUGGGGCUUCCUUUCCAGGGUGCCACCACCCCAAAGAAAAUUCCUUUGGAUCCGCUCCAACCUCAGUCUCACACUCCUUGGCAUGUAAAACAGGGACAUACAAUGGAUAGGCAUACUAGAUAGAGUGCUCCGAAUCAAGGUCAGCCUGCCCCCUUUGGAAAUAUAUUGCCUUUUCCAAAUCGAAAGCCUUUUCCUCAGCCUCUCCUCUGCCCCAUCCCAAACUGCCAUAUCCUUGAAACGAGCACCCAAAGGAAGACCCAAGUAAGAAUACGGGAGUGUGCUAAACUUGCAACCAAACUCAAUAGUCAACUCCUCUACAUUCUCCACUUUCCCCAUCGAAAUGAGCUCACUUUUGUCCAAAUUCACCUUUAACCUUGACAUGGCUUUAAACCACAUAAGGAGCCAACUCAAGUAGGACAUCUGAUCUAGAGAAGGCUCAUAGAAGACUAAAGUGUCAUUUGCGAACAACAAAUGAGAGAUCUCCAUUCCCGCACCUCCUCUACCAUUGAACCUCCACCUCGGCAAAAACCCUCCCUCCAUAGCUCUCUUCAACAAGCAAUUGAGAGCCUACAUGACAAUCACAAAAAGGUAAGGGGAUAAGGGAUCCCCCUGUCUCAAGCCUCAAGAACUUUGGAAGAAACCGAAGGGGGUUCUGUUAAUAAGGAUAGAGAAGUUGAUUGUGCCAAUAUACCACUAGAUCCAGUUGAUCCACUUAGCUCCAAAACCCAUCCUUUCCAACAACCAAAGAAGAAAACUCCAGUUUACAUGGCCGUAUGCCUUCUCAAUAUCUAGCUUACAAAGGAUGCCACCAUCCCCACCUUUCUGCAUUGAAUCAAUAGCCUCAUUAGAAAUCAGCGAAGCAUCCAGAAUUUGCCUCCUCUCCACAAAAGCAUUUUGGGACUUGGAAACUAUCUUUCCCGCCACCUUUUUAAGCCUAUUAGCUAGCAGCUUUGCUAAUAACUUGUAAAGGUUGCCCACCACGGUUAUAGACCUAAAGUCCUUCAGAUCUUCAGCUCUCCCUUUCUUAGGAAUUAAAACCAAAAAAAAGGCAUUAAUGCUCUUCACAAACCUGCCUCAAUCAUGAAAAUCCUUAAAAAACCCCAUAACUUCCUCCUUCAGAAAACUCCAGCUAAAAUGCCAUUGAGAAACCAUCGGGAGCAGGAGCUUUAUCUCCAUUGAGGUCCGAGAGAGCACCAAAAACCUCUUUCUCAAAGAAAGGGACCUCUAACAUUGUUGCAUCUUCCCUUCCAAGGACCCCAACCUAUAGCUCAUUGCAUUUGGGCCUCCAGUCCUCUGUUUCAGACAAAAGAAAGUGUUAAACUUGAACCACUCUUAUUAUGUCUCGCUCUUCUGUUACCCAAGUCCCAUUGAUCUUAAUCUUCACUAUAGAGUUACCUCUCUUAUGAGUAGUAGCCAUUUUGUGGAAAAAGCCAGUUUUUCUGUCUCUCUUCCUCAACCAUAACUCUCUAAACGUUUACCUCCAAGAGGUCUCUGCCAUCAACACCCAUUUCUUGGUACUCCUCCAAAGUCUGCUUCCUAAGACUUUGUUCUUUUACAAACAACACCCUGUCUCCUUCUACAGAAUCCCAAAACACCAUCUGCUUCAAGGCUAAUUCCUUUCUAGCAGAGGUAUUUCCAAACACUUAUCUAUUCGAAGUCUUCAAGCUAGCCUUAAGCGCUUUAAGUUUUUUAGACAGAGUGAAAUUGAAAGACCCUCUGAACUGGAAACCCAUCCACCAACUCCUUAGCAAAUCCUUAAAAUUGUCUUCCUUCAACCACCUAUUCUCAAAUCUGAAUGGGGAAGGUCCCUUCCUCGCACCUUCGCCGUCUAACAAAAUUGUGCAGUGGUCAGAAACAGGUUUGGGAAGAAGACACUGAACUGCCUCGCUGAAAUAGCACUCCCAAUCCUCGAAAACUAGAAAUCUAUCCAACCUUGAUUGUAAUUGAUUAUUCAAACUGCCCCUCCACAUGAAAAAACCCCCUACAAUGGGAGAUCCCACAAUUCCAAAUCCUCAAUGACCGUCGAGAAUCUUUUCAUUACUGAAGACAGUCUUGAAUCUUUGUUCCUCUUUCUCAAGAAUCUAAGAACAUUAAAAUCUCCUCCUAUGCACUGUAGAUCUUGCCACAAACCCAUAAUAGUCCCCAACUCCUCUUAGAAAUCUUCUCUAAGCCUCUCAACAGAAGGGCCAUACACACUUGUAAAAACCUAGUAGAAGUCAUCCUCCACAUUCUUAAACCAACAGGAAACUGAAAAAUCUCCAAUUUCCAUUCUUAUUAGCUCUAACACCCUACUAUCCCAAAAGACUAACACCCCCCCUUGCCAUACCCUAAGAAUUAAGAGUGCCCCACUCCAAGAACCUACCCACCCCCAAAGACCGAACCAAACCACAUGACAGAUUUUGGAAUUUGGUUGCCUAGAGGCAAACCAAAUCCGCUUUCUGAGCUUUGACUACAGAUUUGAUGAUUUUUUUUUUAUCACCAUCAUUUGCCUCUCUCACAUUCCAAGAGAGGAUUCUUAACUUCAUUUACCCACAUAAACUAAACCCCCAUUCUCUUGGGAGAGAGCUUUUCCACAUCCUAAACUUUUAAAAUGAAUGGAAUACUCCAACCUUCUAAGUUCCCUUUCAAACCUUGAGGAUUCAACCUUUACCCUUUUAGGCCCAUACCACUGAUCCUUUUGUUCUUUCCUGAAUUUCCAUUUCUUGAGCAAAGUUAGAAUUUCCUCCUCAAAACCCGUAGUCAACAUGCCUAGAAAGUCACUAAACUGGGCAAGACAACACGAUUUCCACUCCUCAGCUGACUCCACUCCACACUCAAGUGGCCCAUUGAAUUGUCUCUUUCCUCAAGGCUCACCUCUCUUACUACAACUAGAGCCCUUUCCUCCCCAAAAGAGGUCGCCAUAGAGCUCCUGUCAGCCAAAACCACAUUUAGAGGACAAAUUCUCACAACUGCUUCAACAAUCUCCGCCCCCUAGCCACAAACAAAACUGCAGUCCCCUUUCGCAACCCUUUUCCGACAAGAAGGAGAAGAAGAAGAGAAACCCCGUAGUCCCCAAAGCACCAAAGAAUAAGAGGAGCGAGAGGUGUACCUUGUCGCUUCACCCUGGAAAGCCUCAUCCACUGCAAUGAACCCUCCGCAACAGUCCCCAACUUUCUUAAAGACUUCAAGGCUCCACAAAUGCAAAGGAAGACCCAAGACUCUCACCCACGCCUCCUUGCAAGACCCCUUCUUCACCUCACACCCAGUCUCAUGUUGCCACCUUUCCAAACUAAGGAGUCUCUCGUUGAACCUCCUAGAACCUCUGACCAACACCCUUUCUGCCUCCAUUCGAUCCUCGAACUCGAACAAAAGUAAAGAACCCCCAAAAACAGACGCCUGCAGCCCAUGUCUCCAGUACCAUGUUCCCCUCGCCCAAAUAUUUAAUGCCUGAAGCUCUGAGACCGAAAAGGGUCCCUCACCAAACUUCCCAACCACCUCCUAAGCUUCUCCUCCCUCCCUGUCUUGCACAUCUCCCUCCCCAAUUUGGAGCCAAGCUGUCUCCUCCACCAAACCCUCAUUCUUUCUUACUGCAUUCACAUAGGACAUACUCCCACUUCCAGCCUUCCAACUGCCCCCAUUCUCAACAGAAGAUUCCACUUUCUUUUCCUCAAAAAUGGGAGCAACCCCAAGUGACCGCAGUUUCUCGGCCAAAAUGAGCCAACCCCCAUGGUUACCCCUCCCUUCUGGGAAAACCAGAGAGAAACUCUUUGAUUCUGCCAUGACCGCCGUGACCGCCUUGCAGAAUAUGAACCUCCCAGCCCCAUUCUCCCGACAUUCCAGCUUGACUUUCCUUCCUCCCUCCUUCCACCCUUUGUUCCACCUUGACAGCCAAACAUCUCUACAACAAGCUUCCACCCCUGCCAGAAUGCAACCCAGACUGAACUCCCCAAACCUGACCCAACUGGAAAAACCUCUUCCACGCUCCACAAUGACCCCUCUCAGUCUCUUUCCAAGCUCCUCAACAGGAAUGUCAAAGGACUUGGACUCCACUGCAAACCAACACCGCCCCAUUCACAGCCUUUUUUUCAUGAAGUUAUUGAUUUACUAAUCUUUGUAUUUUACUUCUUUUAAGAUAGUUUCUUUGAGUUUGUGGGAUUGUGUAGUUUUCUCUAAACUGAACCAGUUGCUGAAAUUGUUUUUGUGAUGGUUGGCCAGGUUGUUGGUACCAUCUUUACGCACCAUCAAAAAUGUGUGCUUGUAGAUUCCCAGGCACAUGGAAAUAAUCGGAAGAUAACUGCUUUUUUGGGAGGUAUUGACCUGUGCGAUGGUCGUUAUGAUACACCUGAGCAUCGGCUAUUUAAGGAUCUUGACACUGUAUUUAAUGAGGAUUUUCAUAAUCCUACAUUUCCUGUGAGUUCUUGACACUGUAUUCCUGCAUUUUAUUUCCAGCAUCCUUUUGCAACUUGUGUCUGAUUUUGAAUAUGAUUAAAAAUAAAUUGUCUAUCAAGAAUUUUCCAUAUUCUGCUGUUGAUUAUGUAACUUAGGGGAUAGUGUAUAUAUUCUCAUGAUGAUUUUGUUUUGUUUUCAAAAUAGUUUAUUACUACAAUCACAUUUUAAACUACUUGAUUAAGCCUCUGAAUUCUUGAAUAACAUUUUUUCUCUCAAGAUUUUCCAUAUUGUAUUGUUGGUCAUAGUGAAUAACUUUGAUUGAACUACUUGAUUAAACCUCUGAGUUCUUACACACAUAUGUCUCUGCACCCACACCCACCAUUUUGUGACUGAAUAACUUAAACCGGAGUCUAAUUGAAUUACAUUUACAUGCACAUGCUAUUUUGUGACUGAAUAGCUUAAGUCAGCCUGAGUAUAAUUGAAUUAUGUUUAUAAGAUUAAGGUGAAAUUAAACACUUUAUUGCUGCAAUUGGAUUGUUUCAAACAAAUUCUAUCAUGUCAUGAAAGAUUGAUUAACAACAUUUGCUUGUCAAUCUUGUGCAAUAAAAUUUAAGAACUGUAUGAGUUGAAAUGCUUGAGUUUUGAUUAUAUUUGAAUAUAGCAAUUUAAAUCUACUGCUACAUCUAAAAGAACACAAAGCCAUUCAUUUGUUAGAAGUUAUCAACUUAGCACUUACGAAUGCAAAUAUCGUAGGCUUCAAGCUCAAUAUAUGUUCAAGUGAAUGACUCAUAUAUUCAUGCACAAAUGCAAUCUUGACUUGCUAUAUGCUCGUAUCAAUUUCUUAUUCUCUUAUCAAUUUCUUGUCUAUAGUUAGUACCAGUGGGAAUAUAAUGAACUUUUAAAUGCUAUUUUGAGAUGACAACCAACAAUCCAGUCCUGUUAUCUUAUCACAGGGUGAAGUUAGCAUGAGGCUAGAUACAUGUGCUUGAAGUGUGGAACAAGUUUUCCUUUAUCGUUUGGCCUAUAUGCCAAAUUCAAUACCUUUUUAUGUUCUUGUCAUACAGGAAAUUAUUAUAUUUUUUCCCCUUGUUCUUUCUUGUUUAUUAGGCAGGAAGCAAGGCUCCAAGGCAACCAUGGCAUGAUUUGCAUUGCAAAAUUGAAGGGCCUGCUGCAUAUGAUGUCCUUAUAAACUUUGAGCAGCGUUGGAAAAAGGCUACAAAGUGGACAGAAUUUGGACUACAUUUGAAGAAAAUAUCUCACUGGCAUGAUGAUGCUUUGAUAAAAAUAGACCGCAUCUCAUGGAUACUUAGUCCUCCAUCUGGUUCAGAUGGUGAUGAUGUUACAUCUGUUCCGAAGGAUGAUCCUUCAUUAUGGGUUACCAAGGAAGAUGAUCCUGAAAACUGGCAUGUUCAGGUUACACAAUGCAACUAUUUGGUUCAAUAAAACAUCACUUGUUUGAUUCUAUUAUUUUUAUUCAACCUUAAUUGGGUUUCUCUAUUUCUGUAGGUUUUUCGUUCCAUUGACUCAGGAUCACUGAAAGGAUUUCCCAAAACUGUGGAUACCGCUGAGAAUCAGGUUCACAUUCAAAGUUAUUUUUCUUCUUGGUGUUUCCACCUUUUAUAUUUAUGUAGAGAAAGCAGUUAAUAUUGACUAAAGUUCACAACCCUUACUGAGUUUCACAUUGACAUUUUAAUUUGUCUCAACACUCAAUCAUGCAUAAUAUUUUAGUUCCUGGUUCCUAAUGACAUUCUUCUACAGCAGAACCUUAUUUGUGCAAAAAAUCUGGUGAUAGAUAAAAGCAUCCAAACAGCAUACAUCCAGGCAAUAAGAUCUGCUCAGCAUUUCAUAUAUAUUGAAAAUCAGUAUUUCCUUGGAUCAUCAUAUGCAUGGCCAUCCUACAAAGAUGCAGGUGAGAAUCACAUUUUUAGAUUAUGAUGUAGCAUCUGUAAUACUUUUUGGGAAAUUAUUUUCAUUGUGGAUGCCUCUAAUGUUUCAAAUUUUCUGCUGCAUGAAUUGUGAAAAAGUUUGUGUACAAGCUAUGCAAAAAAAAAUUUGGAUUUAAACAUUUUUUUACUUGCAAAUGAGCCUUUAUAUCGUUUGUAUUUACUUAAGUAAGAUUGUCCUUUGUGAUUUUGGUGGGACAAUCAGAUUUCGUCCUUAUCAUAUUUGUGAAUACUUGGAAUUUACAGCUCUCCUUAGUUGUUUUUAGGUUUUCCUCAACUAAUUUAUGGUAUUUUCAUGAACUUAUGUCUGAUUCAAUGCUUUUUCCUUCAUCUUUUUGAAUUUAAUUGCUUUGGUGGUAUGGUCAGGAGCUGAUAAUCUAAUCCCGAUGGAGUUGGCACUGAAAAUCGCAAGUAAAAUUAAAGCUAAGGAGAGAUUUGCUGUAUACAUUGUCAUACCAAUGUGGCCUGAAGGCGAUCCAAAAUCUAAUACUGUGCAAGAGAUACUCUUCUGGCAGGUAUUGUAUUUCUAAUUCCUAAAUCUAAUGGGCUUUUAUCACUAUGCUUCCACAGACAUAUCAGAUGACUCAAGUUUAUAACACCAUAUGGUGAGAUACUAACCAACAAGUACUGAAAAUGUUAUAUUAAAGUAACCAUAGUAACAGCACAAGUAGUGGUGAUUAUAUUGAUGGUUUGACACAAUUAAUAUUUUUACUUUAUGAAUUUGCUUACAGGCCCAGACAAUGCAAAUGAUNNNNNNNNNNNNNNNNNNNNNNNNNNNNNNNNNNNNNNNNNNNNNNNNNNNNNNNNNNNNNNNNNNNNNNNNNNNNNNNNNNNNNNNNNNNNNNNNNNNNAGGAAAAUGUCGGGAUAUAUCGGCGAUAUAUCGUCGAUAUAUUGUGUAUCGGGAGACGAUGACACGAUAUUUUGUGGAGAAAAAUCGGAGAGGAGAAAAAUCGUUGAUAUAUUGGCAUCAGGCGAUAAAUCGCCGAUUUAAUGGAAAAAAAUGGCCUAAAGGGAAGAAAAUCACCGAUAUUUCGAUCAGUCAACGUGGGUCAAUGCGCUACAGUGCACCGCUACAGUAGCUACAGUGCACCGCUAUAGUGCACUCUCAAAAAUGCCUAUUUGUUGUGCCGCUGAGGGGAUUUGAACCCCAACCAAAGGUUUGGGGUUCAACUCAUCAGACCACCAAGGGAAGCUUGCCCUUUGUUAAAUGUAUUGCACUAAAAAUAUAUAUUCAAAGUCAUCAUGUAAAGAAAAUUUUAAAAGAAAAUUUUAGAGAGCAAAUUAAUUAUAAUUAUUUUAUAAUUAAAUACAAAAAUUUCUUUUAAUUGAUUAACAAAAAUAUAAAAAUUAUCAUAAUAAUUUUCUUCAUAGUGUUUUUAAUAUCAUUAAUAAAUUAAUUAAAUAUUAAAAAAUUGUACAUAUAUCAUAAUUUAUUUUAUAUCAUUUGAUACAAUUGAAUUAAAUGGAUCAUAAUUUUAAUAUUAAAAUAUAUUUUUAAGUUAGACAUAUUAUAAUCAAAUAUCAUAAUAUUAUUAUGAAAUAAUAUUUGAUGUAAUUUAAUAAUAAAUGUACACUUAUAAAAUUCAUAUUUUUAUCGAUGCAUACAAUAUUAUUAUCAAAUAUGAUAAAUCAUAUUAUACAUAUAUCAAAUUCUUUAAUAAAAUAACUUUAAAAUAUCUAUUAUACUUCUAAUUGCAUUUUUAUGAAGUUUUUCUUGUAUUUUUAUAAAUUUUGAUCAAUUUUAGGCUUAUUGAUAUUUUUUUCCGAUAUAUAUCCGAUAUAUCUGAUAUAUCCGUAAAAUCGAAGUACCGAUAUAUCCGUGAUUAUCGAUAUUUUCAUCCUUGCUUGUACCCACCCAUGUCAUGUNNNNNNNNNNNNNNNNNNNNNNNNNNNNNNNNNNNNNNNNNNNNNNNNNNNNNNNNNNNNNNNNNNNNNNNNNNNNNNNNNNNNNNNNNNNNNNNNNNNNCUAAUGUUUCAAAUUUUCUGCUGCAUGAAUUGUGAAAAAGUUUGUGUACAAGCUAUGCAAAAAAAAAAUUGGAUUUAAACAUUUUUUUACUUGCAAAUGAGCCUUUAUAUCGUUUGUAUUUACUUAAGUAAGAUUGUCCUUUGUGAUUUUGGUGGGACAAUCAGAUUUCGUCCUUAUCAUAUUUGUGAAUACUUGGAAUUUACAGCUUACCUUAGUUGUUUUUAGGUUUUCCUCAACUAAUUUAUGGUAUUUUCAUGAACUUAUGUCGGAUUCAAUGCUUUUUCCUUUAUCUUUUUGAAUUUAAUUGCUUUGGUGGUAUGGUCAGGAGCUGAUAAUCUAAUCCCGAUGGAGUUGGCACUGAAAAUCGCAAGUAAAAUUAGAGCUAAGGAGAGAUUUGCUGUAUACAUUGUCAUACCAAUGUGGCCUGAAGGCGAUCCAAAAUCUAAUACUGUGCAAGAGAUACUCUUCUGGCAGGUAUUGUAUUUCUAAUUCCUAAAUCUAAUGGGCUUUUAUCACUAUGCUUCCACAGACAUAUCAGAUGACUCAAGUUUAUAACACCAUAUGGUGAGAUACUAACCAACAAGUACUGAAAAUGUUAUAUUAAAGUAACCAUAGUAACAGCACAAGUAGUGGUGAUUAUAUUGAUGGUUUGACACAAUUAAUAUUUUUACUUUAUGAAUUUGCUUACAGGCCCAGACAAUGCAAAUGAUGUAUGAGGUUAUUGCAAAGGAACUAAAAUCCAUGCAGCUGGAGGACUCGCAUCCUCUAGACUACUUAAAUUUUUACUGCCUGGGUAACCGGGAAGGAGUGACCAAAGAAAUGUCAGAGAAAGCUAGUCCAACACCUGCAAAUGCUGAUGCGGUAAUAUUUAAUAAGAAAUUUAUUUUCUGCUGGUUUAGUUUACAAUGCCUUUUAAGUUUUAUUGCAUGGGUUCAGGUAUGAGUGUCGGAUGUGGGUAUGUAUCCAGGAGUGAUUCUUCACAACUCAAAUUUUAGGACACGGGGUGAAAAAGGAUCAAAAAGAGGGGCAUGGGUACUAGCAUACGGUGUAAUAGAAGAAAAUUAAUUAAGUGAAGAUAUCCUUUUUAAAAGUUUUCAUCUUUUCCCUCUAAUCCCUUUUUUUUUUCCUCUUAUACUGCAAUUUUUCCUUUUUUACAAAAGUUCACUUUUCAGCUAACUCUUCAUUUCCUCAAAUAUAAUUAUUACUAAGAAAGUUGAAAGAAUAAAAGGAUAUCAAUAAAAAAAUCUAAUCAUUGCACCAAAAGAAAAAUAAGAGUGUCCAACAAGGUUCUUGUACCCAAGGAGGAAAAUGUCGGGAUAUAUCGGCGAUAUAUCGUCGAUAUAUUGUGUAUCGGGAGACGAUGACACGAUAUUUUGUGGAGAAAAAUCGGAGAGGAGAAAAAUCGUUGAUAUAUUGGCAUCAGGCGAUAAAUCGCCGAUUUAAUGGAAAAAAAUGGCCUAAAGGGAAGAAAAUCACCGAUAUUUCGAUCAGUCAACGUGGGUCAACGCGCUACAGUGCACCGCUACAGUAGCUACAGUGCACCGCUACAGUAGCUACAGUGCACCGCUAUAGUGCACUCUCAAAAAUGCCUAUUUGUUGUGCCGCUGAGGGGAUUUGAACCCCAACCAAAGGUUUGGGGUUCAACUCAUCAGACCACCAAGGGAAGCUUGCCCUUUGUUAAAUGUAUUGCACUAAAAAUAUAUAUUCAAAGUCAUCAUGUAAAGAAAAUUUUAAAAGAAAAUUUUAGAGAGCAAAUUAAUUAUAAUUAUUUUAUAAUUAAAUACAAAAAUUUCUUUUAAUUGAUUAACAAAAAUAUAAAAAUUAUCAUAAUAAUUUUCUUCAUAGUGUUUUUAAUAUCAUUAAUAAAUUAAUUAAAUAUUAAAAAAUUGUACAUAUAUCAUAAUUUAUUUUAUAUCAUUUGAUACAAUUGAAUUAAAUGGAUCAUAAUUUUAAUAUUAAAAUAUAUUUUUAAGUUAGACAUAUUAUAAUCAAAUAUCAUAAUAUUAUUAUGAAAUAAUAUUUGAUGUAAUUUAAUAAUAAAUGUACACUUAUAAAAUUCAUAUUUUUAUCGAUGCAUACAAUAUUAUUAUCAAAUAUGAUAAAUCAUAUUAUACAUAUAUCAAAUUCUUUAAUAAAAUAACUUUAAAAUAUCUAUUAUACUUCUAAUUGCAUUUUUAUGAAGUUUUUCUUGUAUUUUUAUAAAUUUUGAUCAAUUUUAGGCUUAUUGAUAUUUUUUUCCGAUAUAUAUCCGAUAUAUCUGAUAUAUCCGUAAAAUCGAAGUACCGAUAUAUCCGUGAUUAUCGAUAUUUUCAUCCUUGCUUGUACCCACCCAUGUCAUGUUGUGUUGAUGUAGUAUGUUCGGUGAAAUUAAAGGAUCUAGGUAUCAUAGCCUUUAAGUAUAAACAAAUCUAAAGGGUUUUGGUGCUUAAUUACUAAAACUUGGUGUACCAUGGUCAAUGGCAUUGGUUGAUCUCCUCUCCAGUCAAAGUUUGUCUUUGAGACAUGGUAAACUCCAUAAUGUUGCUGUUUUUAAAUUGAAUACAAAUCCAUCUAAGAUAAUCUGAUGGUUUCAAAUUGAAUUCUCUAAUUUUUGCAUUAGUCCAGCUUUAGAUUAAAAUACAUUUAAUAUGUGCAGGUGCUAUCUAGUUCAUAUCAUAUGAGUGGAGCCCCUUUGGAAUUUCAAUUUCUGUUUAAAACCCAAACUGAGUUCCAAUUUUUUUCCUUGUUUUUUGUCAGUUCUCAUGAUCUUUGGCAGAAAAUUGAAAAUUUGAAAAAAUUCACUAAACAGAAAUAUGCCCAUUUGAGAAAAAAUAGGGGCUUCCUAACUUUUCCAAAACAUAGAUAAAUCAGGUAGGAAAAUGUGGGGCCCACAUCUGGAAGUUCCAUUUAAGUGUCCCUAGAAGUUGAAGCUCUCUUGAACAGGCUAUAAUACACUGCCUUAAACAAAGGACCUGGUAAACAUUAAAAUUUUCCUUCUAUUCUCUGUAUGUACUUCAUCGUGUUCUGCCUCUCUAUGAACAAACCUCACAAUAAGCACACUAAUGCCCAUGGACUGUUCAAGUGGUUUGAACCCCUUAAAGCUUCUCAAGGAAGAAAAUUCAUUGAUCACCACUUCACAGAUGAGGAGGCGGCUAGAUACUACUAGGCCACCAGGCAACUGAUAGCUGUUUUCUAUGGCCUUUAAAGCACCUCUCUUGGUCUUCAUGUAAAUAAUCUUGAGUCUUGAUUUGCUUAGUUGUAGCAAUGUAUUCCACUAUAUAGCAUAGAAAGGCAUCUCCUAUGAGGGGUGUUUCCCCACUUGCGUCUCUUGUCCAUACUUGAGGAUCAACCCUUUCCUUGACACUAUUUGAGGAUGCUUCAUGGCAUAGCACCUAGAUGCUCUGUUGCUUGCACAAGUUGAGAGCAGGACUAGAGAAGCUGAUUAUGGACCUGGUGCAUCUCAAUGAUGGAUAUGACCCUAUCCAUGGAGUAUGUGGGAUGAUUAAAGGCCCAAUCUACAUUGCAAGGGACUACAAUUUACACACUCUCAAAUGGUCAAGCAUCAAGCUCAUUUUCAGAACUCUCUAAGAUUCCUGAGUUGCCUUCUCUCAAGAUAUUUCCUUUGAUCUACUGCUAUGUUCUCCAGCCCUCUCCUACCUCUCGGCCCUCCACAUUGUUCUCUCAAGCUUGGACAUCUGACGGUUCACAUGGCUAACCUCCUCCAACAAAGAACUGUUGCAGUAAUACACAUCACAAAUUUUACCCAUUAAAUUUGUAUUUUCAUUUUGUAAUGGCCUAUAAAAAUUGUUGUUCAUAAUAUUUCUAAUGUUUAUCUGCUUGUUUCAUCAUAUGUUCCAAGUUAUUGAAUUUAAUACACUUCGUUGAUUGUGAUUUUCCUACAUUCAUUAGCACAUGGUGUUUGAAAAAUCUUACAUCUGGAUGUUGUUCUUACCAUUUCCAGCAUCUAUCUAUCUACCUGUUGCACCAUGUUCAUCCUGUAAUUCUUACCCUGGUAUUGGUUGUUGAGAUUAUAGUACAUGCAUUAGCACCUCAUAUUUCAACAUCCUAUAUUUGGACAAGCAGGAGAUUUAUCUAUGCACACAAUAUUCAUUUAUAACCUGCAUGAAGCUCAUCGAAGUUUGGUUGUAAUUAAAUUUUUUUAUCAGGUCUUAGCUUCAGCAAAAUUUCGGAGAUUUAUGAUUUAUGUACAUGCCAAGGGAAUGAUUGUGGACGAUGAAUAUUUGAUAAUGGGCUCUGCCAAUAUUAACCAAAGAUCUAUGGCUGGUACAAAAGACACUGAGAUAGCUAUGGGUGCGUAUCAGCGCCAUCACACUUGGGCUGAGAAGAAGAAACAUCCACAUGGCCAGGUCUGUAAACUUGAUCUCUUUUAAUGCAUCUUUUUUUAGCUAUAGAUGAUUUGGAGGCUUCUUUUUUGGAGGCAAGCAAGAAUAACUGAACAGUUUAAAAUAACACUUGGUUCUUGGCACACUGCAGCCUUUAGAUAUGCACUUAUGUGCAUGAUUGAUGCUGCUAAAUGUCUGGUUUUCAUAUGAUUUGCUUUUUCAUCCAAAAAUUAAAUAAAAUGCUUUAAAACAAAGAAUGCAAAAUCCUGAUGUUUUUCUAGUUGAAGUUUGUGGGCCAUGAGUAUCUUGACGACAUUGAAGUACAUUUUUCUUCAGUUUCCCCUUCUUCAGAAAAACACCACUUUCCAGUAGUAAACCUGAACAUAUUACUUCUUUUUCAUUCUAGUGGUAGAUUUUCUUUGUUCUUGGAGUUUCUGUCAUUGCCAAUAUGUAUGUGCAGGUCUAUGGAUACAGAAUGUCACUGUGGGCCGAGCAUCUGGGGAUGGUAAAUAAACUGUUCAAGGAGCCAGAGAAUUUGGAAUGUGUGAGGACUGUGAAUGAGAUGGCUGAAGAAAACUGGAAGAGAUUCACAGCUGAGGAGUUUACUCCAUUGCAGGGCCACCUUCUCAAGUAUCCUAUGCAGGUAGACGCCGAUGGGAAGGUGAGCUCCAAGCCUGGACAUGAGAAUUUCCCAGAUGUUGGCGGAUAUGCACUUGGUUGUCAUUCCACCACACUACCUGAUUCUCUAACUACAUAAGCUCUUCCUGUUUUUGUGUUCAUAUUUAAAUAUGGCAGCAGCAAAAGAAAACUGGCAGUGACAUUCUAGAGAUCCCUCUGAGUUACUGUGUUCCUUAUCGCAGAGGGGUUGGGUUGGGAUGGGAAUUAGUGCUUGUAAAUUCUGUGUUUAUCAAGUGUACACACUUUGGAUAGAUUGAUUUGUUGUGCAUAUCUUGCUCAUCCUUGUUGAGAUCUCGUAACAAUUACAGUGUGAAUACUCAUCAGUUCCCAGACUGUUCGUGUGUUGCUGUUUCUUGCAUUAGUUCCCUUUUUGUUUUCCUUUGUCUUCAAAUAGAGUUUGCAAUUUGACUAGAGACUUUCACUGUCGCAUCAAGCAUGAGUUUGACGCAUCAAUUGCAUAUAUGAAAAGUGCCUUAUAACUGUGCUUUACUCCUAGCGAUUUUGCAGGUUAGAUCCUGGCAGGUUGUGGUCAUGAGUGCCGUGCCCUGAAAAACUGUAGCUUCCUUUUUAAGUGUUUGUAGUAGUGGCAUGAGAGAAUGCUAGCUCUUACCCCAUAAGGGAUGCAUAGUUCUUUAGACCAUAAGACGAUGCUCCAAAUCAUUUGUCAAUCUAGUAUCUUGCAACCAAUUCAUUUUGAUAAAAAAAAUGCUAUGAAUACAACAAGACACCUCCAAAUUCAACAACAAAUAUAAUGAAAGGAAAAAAUUCUGAAGCAUCAUCCACUUUGACGUCAGUUGUAGUAAGACCAUUGAGAAGUUUCAAUGUUCUAGCGUGUAUAUGGAUGUUUAAGGCCAAGGCGCCGUAUUUCAUUGAGUGAUGAAAACUUUUUUGAUGCAUGGCUGUGAACAAAAAUUGGCCAAUUCCUCUAAAAUCCAGAAGGAAGCCACCACAUCUUCGUUUCACAGGAUGGAAUAGCAAAAGAUGGAAGAUGAUCCACUGUGGUUGAUUGGUGUACACAAAACCAUCUUCCUCUAGUCUUGUUAGUUCAUUGAAAAUGGUGACCCUGAAAAGGACAACAAGGUUAGGAAGACAUAAUUCAUUCAAGAAACUAAAUAUCAACAUAGAAAGAGACUUGGCAAGGGUUAAUGUUUUACACUUCCAAUUGGUAAUGCUCCUAAAUUCUGGAACUUCUCCAAAGAUUUCAAUUAUUACUAGACAUGGCUCACCCUUUCCUUUCCUUUCCCUUAUUGUUUGAGGACUAAUUCAUAUAUUAACAUUGCAAGGACCAACCAAAAAGAGGCAUGUUGGAAAAUCAACUAGAAAAGUUAAUAACGAUCACCUGCAGUCACAAUACUCUCUGCACAAAACAAUUCCCACACCUCUACCUAGCCAACAAAGAAGCAUCAACCAAGUCAGGAAAAACACACUUUGAAUGGUUUCAAACACAACAUCAGUAAAUAUUUGGGUAAGGUUCUUACCCCUUCAGAAAGUUGCCAUGGACAGCCUUAAAAAUACACCAAGCCGCAACCUCUACAGCACAUAGAAGGUCAUCUAGACUGCGAAUCCAUCAGUUCCCAUGCUGUUAAGGUACAUGUUUUUUGAUAUUUUAUGUAAGAUUCCAGUAAGUUAAAUCUAUUGAGAAUGUCUUGAACAAUGGCAGCUAGUUGUUUGUUGUUGUUACAAUGGGAUGUGGAUGGCAAUGGAUGGGGUGUGGACAGCAUUAGAUGGUUUCUACCAAAGGGAACCUAUCAAACAAUCCGGCCUCUUCCUCCAUUAUAUUAUCCAACCUUUCCAAUGUGUCAAAAAUCUGAUCUUUAAAUGGAUGAGAUUUAUCUUCCACUCCAAAUGUGUGGAGAACACAACCCAACUCAAUUGCACUACAUCCAAGUGGCUUCCUGAUAUUCUUCUCUUUCAGCGCCUUCCUCAGUCUUGCUGCAUUCUCCCACUUACCUGCAUCUUCAUACAUCUUAACAAGAAUUAUGUACCGCCCAGCAUUGUCAGGGUCAAGAACAAAUAACUUCUCUGCUAUUUCUUCUGCAAGUUCUAUAUUAUUAUGUAUUCUACAAGCACCAAGCAAGGCACCAUAGACAUCCUUCCCUGGCUGCACGGGCAUGUUUUUAACAAACUCGACUGCCUCAUGAAGAAACCCAGCUCGACCCAAGAUAUCUACCACGCUAGCAUAAUGCUCAGAACUUUUCUCAACUCCAUAAUCCCCCAUUUUCUCAAAAAGUUCCAUUCCUUCUGCAACCAUCCCUGCAUGACUAAAUGCAGACAACAAACAUAAGAAUAUGACUCCAUCUGGAUGUAAACCACUAUCAAUUAGCCCAGAGAACAUUUUGAGAGCUUCAUCUGCAUGGCCAUGCAUUCCAUAACACCUUAUUAUUGCAUUCCAGACCACAAUAUUUUUAUCAUCGAUCCGAUCAAAUACAUCCCUGGCACUGUUCAAAAGGCCACAGUUUGCAUACAUUGCAAUAAGACCGCUGCCUAAAGCGGCAUCAAGUUCAAUGCCUGACUUUAUUACAUAAGAAUGAAUCCACAGGCCCUCUUGGAUGGCUGCUGCUUGUGCACAAGCAGGAAGAAUAGCAACAAGAGUAGCACUAUCAGGUGCAUACACAGUAUCACCUUGCACUUGCAGCAUAUUAUGGAAAAGCACAAGAGCAUCAUCUGCACAUCCAUUAAUGGCAUAGCCCGAAAUCAUUGAAUUCCAAGUUACAAUAUCUUUCUCAGAGAUCAUAUCAAACACCCUCCUCGAUGCCCCAAUUUCGUUACAUUUGGCAUAAAAUGCCACAAGAGCAUUUCCAACAAACAGAUCCAAAUCAAGUCCAUGUUUCACAACAUGCCCAUGAAUAGCCUGACCCUUCUUCCCAUCUUUCAUUGCACCACAAGCCUUUAACACAAAAGGGAAGGUAUACCUGUUUGCAGCAACUCCACUGCAUCGCAUAUAUUCAUAAAUAUUCAAUGCUUCCAUAAAAGGACCCAGAUUUGCAUAACCCUGAAUGAUCGUAUUCCACACAAAAACAUCUCUGUCAGGCAAACAGUCGAACACCUUCCUUGCAUCUUCGAUGUUUGAUUCAUAGCACUGGGCGUACUUGCCCACAAGCUUUGCACCAAGAAAUGGGUUCUCCUCAAACCCUCCAAUAAUUAUCUGGGCAUGUAUGCUUUUGAUGGUUUUGGUGCCUUUACAACGCUGUAACAAGUAUGUAUAAUCGUAUGAAUUUCUCUGAGAUGCCAUGCCCACAAAACAUCUAAUUGAAGUGAAUAUCAUUCUUGUUAAAAGAAGAAGCUUUGGUUUGACGAGGAACCCAAGCAUCUGAGUUCUCAAAGGAAGCAUUUCCUCUGUUUCAAUUCUCCAUUAAACCCCACAAACAACCAAAUCAAUAGAAUGCAGUUACUUCAUUGACAGUUGAAUUCAAGAAUAGGGUUUGAGUUGAUGAUUCAAGUCUAGCAAUUUUUUAACAACAAAUUUCAAGGCUAAUCAUUUCUGCCAAACACAACAGCAUUUUUCUCAUUUUUAAAUUGAGAAUUUAUAUUUGGAUCUCCCAAAACUCUCGGCCCACCCAUUUUAUUCACCCAUCCAUCCUUGAAAUUUGCAUCGGGUGAACCCCACCCAACCCGACCCGUCUAUCCAUCCCUAUUCCCAUCUUUAUCUAAAUAAAAAAUUAAACCGGGGACGGGUGUAGAAAAUUCUCAUAUCCAUCCCACUCUAUUUAAUUUUUAUAAUUUUAAAAUAUUAUUAAAAAUAAGAAUAAUUUAUAAAUAAAUAAAUAUUUUAAAUAUUUAUAAUUUAUUUUCAUAAAAAGUAAUAUUUUAUGUAUGUUUAAAAAGUUAAAAAUGAAAAAAAAAACCUAAAACAAUUUUUAUUUAAUAUUAUAUAUAAUUGAAAUGAGGUUACACAAAGUCAUAUGCUCUAAACCCUUCUAUGGCGAGAUGGGUACUU